UGAACAUUCCAUGCUUUCCCCGCCCCUUCUCGACGCUGAUACGUCAUCGGUAUGCCGGGAAGCCGACGUCAUCAGGCCAGGGCUCUCCGUCCUUGACAGCGGGUGGGCAUCGACUCCAAACAAAGAAAUAAAAAAUCAUUAUCGUGGAAUAGGAAGAUUUGAAAACUUCGCCUCGACGCGGUCGGUCGAGCCGAGAACUUUCUAUGCGGGCGGCAGUACGGAAAUCCGCAAGGUCUCCUCGUUCUUCCGGCUUCCUUUUCUUCGGCUCAAAGCGGAGAGUUUCGAACUCUGAUGAGUCAUCACCAAGGGGCGUGGCCAGGAACGUCUGUUUCUCUCUCUUAGGCUAUGACUCAUCGCUGUGACCGCGGAAACCCUCUGCGCACGCGCACUAAUCCCCUCCUUCUAUUUAUAGGUUUCCAAAGGAAGGGGAGUGAUGUCAUGCGGGUGGCAGAUUCGGGGCUUUGGGCGCGCGGCCUCACCCGCCGCGUCGCCUAGCGACCUGGCGGUGUUUACUGAAAGGCGGGGGCAAGGAGGCGGAGUUGCCUAGCAACGGGGGUAAAGCACUCAGAAGAAGGGGAGGCCUAAUGAAAGGAGGUGAAGGAGGAAACACCUCUCGAAGAAAUGUUUUAUUAAACAAAGAAAAAGUAGUUUAUAUUACAACUGCACACUAGCUGUUGAACUACCCUGGGGAUAAAUGAUGUGGCCUUGUGAAUUCAUAUAGAUUUGUCUCAAGAUGCCAUUGGAUUAUCCAUUUCCUGAUCAAAGUCAAUAAAAACUAUUUCUGAAACAUU